AGUUUUAUUUUAACUUUUAAAUGUAUAGAACUCUCUCGCUAAGACACACUUAACUCGCGAGAGAGGAUUCGAGGAUCUCUCUAUACUCGUUGAUCCAGACCUUAGAUUCGUUCAAUUGUUUCUCUUCUCGAUUUGAUCACGAGAUCUACCACCACCAGAUCUGGUUCAGGAACGAACGGCAAUCGCCAAAAGUUCAAAUUUGGAAACUGGCAGAGUCUGAAUCCGUCUUAUUAAUCGCGCUUGAUCGGAGAUGUCGAUUUCAAAUCCUGUUACACCUGGGCUAAUGUCGGUGGUGCUCGGGAUUGUGCCGGUGAUCGCGGCGUGGCUAUACUCCGAGUAUCUGCGCUAUACGAAACAUUCCAUCUCCGCCAAAGCGUAUGUUGAUAUAAUCGUGUUUUUUUUGUUUUGUUUUUAAAUUGAUGUCAAUUGGGUGGAAAUUGGGAAAGAUUUUGUGAAAGAAGAUGAUAAAGCUCUUUUAAUAGAAGAUGGUGGCGGAGGUCUUCAAUCAUCUGCUCCCAAAGCCAAUGCCUCUUUUAGGUUUGUCCUCUUGGAUGAGUCCUUCUUGGUUGAGAAUAGGCUGACGUUAAGAGCAAUAAUCGAGUUCGCGGUACUUAUGGGAUACUUUUACAUAUGUGACCGCACGGAUGUCUUCAAUUCAUCCAAGAAGAGUUUCAACCGAGAUCUCUUUCUGUUCCUUUACUUCCUUCUCAUCAUCGUUUCAGCAAUAACUUCGUUUACGAUACAUAAUAUGACAAAUCAGCAUUCAACGGGAAAUCUAUCAUGUACUUGAAUAGCCAUCAAAUCGGGGAGUGGAAAGGCUGGAUGGCUUGCCCUACAACUGUUGAUGCAUCAGCUGGGAAGAUUAUUUUAGUUCUCAACGAAGCAUUUAGUGCUUAAUUUGCCUUUUCAUUUGCUGUUACCUCAUAUCAUUGUUUUCUUUUCCUGGUGUUGUAGGUCCUCUUUUUGAUGUACCACUACUUUGCUGCUGCAGAGUACUACAAUGCAAUCCAUGUUUUCAUCA